rnacentral:rRNA from 1 species
UUGACCUCGGAUCAGGUAGGAUUACCCGCUGAACUUAAGCAUAUCAAUAAGCGAAGGAAAAGAACCACCAGGAUUGCCCCAGUAACGGCGAGUGAACGGCAACAGCUCAGAUUUGGAAUCUGGCCUUCGGGCCCGAGUUGUAAUCUGGAGAGGAUGCUUCUGGCGCGGUGCCUUCCGAGUUCCCUGGAACGGGACGCCGGAGAGGGUGAGAGCCCCGUACGGUUGGACACCUAGCCUUUGUGAAGCUCCUUCGACGAGUCGAGUAGUUUGGGAAUGCUGCUCAAAAUGGGAGGUAAAUUUCUUCUAAAGCUAAAUAUUGGCCAGAGACCGAUAGCGCACAAGUAGAGUGAUCGAAAGAUGAAAAGCACUUUGAAAAGAGAGUUAAAAAGUACGUGAAAUUGUUGAAAGGGAAG